CUUCUGGAGAGGAGCAGAGAUACACGUGCCAUGUGCAGCACGAGGGGCUGCCUGAGCCCAUCACCCUGAGAUGGGAACCAUCCUCUCAGCCCUCCAUCCCCAUCCUGGGCAUCAUGGCUGGUGUGGCUAUCCUUGUGGUCACUGUGGUGGUUGGAGCUGUGAUCUGGAGGAAGAAGUUCUCAGGAGGAAAAGGACCAAGCUACUCUCUCGCUGCACGCAAUGGCAGUACCCAGGGCUCUGAUUCGUCUUUAAUGGCUCCUAAAG